GCAGGAUAGGUUAAGGGAGGAUCAAGGUGAUGAGGGCCUGGAAAGAGGGGCUGGGGUCGAAUCACCAGAUCCUGUUGGUUGCAAUGGAAGAGCCUGGAGUUUAUUCUCAGAGCAGUGAGAAGCCACUGGAAAGUUGUUUUUUUGUUUUUCUGUUUUUGAGACAGAGUCUAGCUCUGUCACCCAGGCAGACUGCAGUGGUGCAAUCUUGGCUCACUGUAACCUCUGCCUCCCAGGUUCAAGCGAUUCUC
rnacentral:lncRNA from 10 species